rnacentral:tRNA from 1 species
UGGAGGGAUGCCGGAGCGGUUGAACGGCCAGCUCUCGAAAAGCUUGGGGAGUGAAAACUCCACGGGGGUUCGAAACCCCCUCCCUCCGCCC